UACGUAGGGCGCGAGCGUUGUCCGGAUUUAUUGGGCGUAAAGGGCGCGUAGGCGGUCACGCACGUCCGUUGUGAAAUCGCUCGGCUCAACUGGGCGGGGUCAGCGGAUACGGCGUGGCUGGAGCAAGCUAGGGGGCAAUGGAAUUCCCGGUGUAGUGGUGGAAUGCGUAGAUAUCGGGAGGAACACCAGUGGCGAAGGCGGUUGCCUGGAGCUUUGCUGACGCUGAACUGCGAAAGCUAGGGGAGCGAACGGG
rnacentral:rRNA from 1 species